UCGCGAUCGCAUAAAAGUUAAUUCAAAUUUUUAUGUAGCUGGAACGUUUGCUUACGUUUGCCGCUAGGGGCGCUGUUCGAACUGCAUACAAAUAUGAGUUAACUUUUACGCUAUCGA
rnacentral:pre_miRNA from 9 species